CACGAGUCGUCCCUCAUGCCCCCGCUCCUCUUCCUCCUGCGGCAUGGCCAUCUCCCAUCCACGCUGUAAUCCCUUUGAUAAAAAGGCCACGAUUCAAUCCUUCCAGAUUACAGGAAAUUUUCACCUCAAAGAGGGCAAAAGAGAGGCUCAACCGAAGCGGAUAUUAAGACGAUCGAUGACCUAUAUACCACACUGGCGGCACACAGGCUGUAGGUGGCAUGCAUGGCGUUGUCUGAAUCACAAGAGAGGAGAACAUCUGCCACAAGAGUAGAUGAGGGAGGAGAGGAGAAAAACACCUGCUCGGUUCAAGGAGUCAUUGAUCUGGAAAAAAGGUCCUGAUCUGGGAGAGGUGUACUGACGGCAAUUUUAAGUAGGCUGGGCUGAGUGAAGAAACUGCAGCGGAUUCGCGGUGCCGUGAUUUCUGCUAUAUUCUCCAUCCUUUGAAUUCA